GACGAACGCUGGCGGCGCGCCUAACACAUGCAAGUCGAACGAGCGAGAGAGAGCUUGCUUUCUCGAGCGAGUGGCGAACGGGUGAGUAACGCGUGAGGAACCUGCCUCAAAGAGGGGGACAACAGUUGGAAACGACUGCUAAUACCGCAUAAGCCCACGGCUCGGCAUCGAGCAGGGGGAAAAGGAGCAAUCCGCUUUGAGAUGGCCUCGCGUCCGAUUAGCUAGUUGGUGGGGUAACGGCCCACCAAGGCGACGAUCGGUAGCCGGACUGAGAGGUUGAACGGCCACAUUGGGACUGAGACACGGCCCAGACUCCUACGGGAGGCAGCAGUGGGGAAUAUUGCACAAUGGGGGAAACCCUGAUGCAGCGACGCCGCGUGGAGUAAGAAGGUCUUCGGAUUGUAAACUCCUGUUGUUGGGGAAGAUAAUGACGGUACCCAACAAGGAAGUGACGGCUAACUACGUG
rnacentral:rRNA from 1 species